rnacentral:rRNA from 1 species
UGCAGUCGAGGGGCAGCGCAGUGUAGCAAUACAUGGGCGGCGACCGGCAAACGGGUGCGGAACACGUACGCAACCUUCCUUCAAGCGGGGCAUAGCUUUCGGAAACGAAAAUUAAUACCCCAUAGAAUUAUCUGAGGGCAUCUGAGGAUAAUUAAAGAUUUAUCACUUGAAGAUGGGCGUGCGCCUGAUUAGGUAGUUGGCGGGGUAACGGCCCACCAAGCCUACGAUCAGUAACUGGUGUGAGAGCACGACCAGUCACACGGGCACUGAGACACGGGCCCGACUCCUACGGGAGGCAGCAGUAAGGAAUAUUGGUCAAUGGACGCAAGUCUGAACCAGCCAUGCCGCGUGGAGGAUGAAGGUCCUCUGGAUUGUAAACUUCUUUUAUCGGAGAAGAAACCCCCGAGUUCUCUUGGGGUUGACGGUACCCGAUGAAUAAGCACCGGCUAACUCCGUGCCAGCAGCCGCGGUAAUACGGAGGGUGCAAGCGUUAUCCGGAUUCACUGGGUUUAAAGGGAGCGUAGGUGGGCUGGUAAGUCAGUGGUGAAAUCUCCGGGCUUAACUCGGAAACUGCCGUUGAUACUAUCAGUCUUGAAUGUUGUGGAGGUAAGCGGAAUAUGUCAUGUAGCGGUGAAAUGCUUAGAUAUGACAUAGAACACCGAUAGCGAAGGCAGCUUGCUACACAAUUAUUGACACUGAGGCUCGAAAGCGUGGGGAUCAAACAGGAUUAGAUACCCUGGUAGUCCACGCCCUAAACGAUGGAUACUCGACAUACGCGAUACACAGUGUGUGUCUGAGCGAAAGCAUUAAGUAUCCCACCUGGGAAGUACGACCGCAAGGUUGAAACUCAAAG